rnacentral:rRNA from 1 species
GAUGAACGCUGGCGGCGUGCCUAAUACAUGCAAGUCGAGCGAACAGACGAGGAGCUUUCUCCUCUGACGUUAGCGGCGGACGGGUGAGUAACACUUGGAUAACCUACCUAUAAGACUUGGAUAACUUCGUGAAACCGGCGCUACUACCGGAUAAUAUAUUGAACCGCAUGGUUCAAUAGUGAAAGACGGUUUUGCUGUCACUUAUCGAUGGAUCCGCGCCGCAUUAGCUAGUUGGUAAGGUAACGGCUUACCACGGCAACGAUGCGUAGCCGACCUGUGAGGGUGAUCGGCCAAACUAGAACUGAGACACGGUCCAGAGUCCUAAGGGAGGCAGCAGUAGGACAUAAUGCGAAAUGGGCGAAAGAAUGACGGAGCAACGCCACGAGAGGGAUGAAGGUCUUCGGAUCGUAAAACUCUGUUAUUAGGGAAGAACAAAUGUGUAAGUAAAAAUGAACGUAUUGACGGUACCUAAUCAGAAAGACACGGCUAACUACGAG